UACGUAGGUGGCAAGCGUUGAUCCGGAAUUACUGGGCGUAAAGCGUGCGCAGGCGGUGAUGUAAGACAGGUGUGAAAUCCCCGGGCUUACCUGGGAACUGCAUUUGUGACUGCAUCGCUGGAGUGCGGCAGAGGGGGAUGGAAUUCCGCGUGUAGCAGUGAAAUGCGUAGAUAUGCGGAGGAACACCGAUGGCGAAGGCAAUCCCCUGGGCCUGCACUGACGCUCAUGCACGAAAGCGUGGGGAGCAAACAGG
rnacentral:rRNA from 1 species